rnacentral:rRNA from 1 species
UACGUAGGGACCAAGCGUUGUUCGGAUUUACUGGGCGUAAAGGGCGCGUAGGCGGCAUGACAAGUCACUUGUGAAAUCUCCGGGCUUAACUCGGAACGGCCAAGUGAUACUGUUGAGCUAGAGUGCGGAAGGGGCAAUCGGAAUUCUUGGUGUAGCGGUAAAAUGCGUAGAUAUCGAGAGGAACACCUGCGGCGAAGGCGGGUUGCUGGGCUGACACUGACGCUGGAGGCGCGAAAGCUAGGGGAGCGAACGGG